rnacentral:rRNA from 1 species
UAACCUGCCCAAGAGAUCGGGAUAACACCUGGAAACAGAUGCUAAUACCGGAUAACAAUAGAUGAUGCCUAUCAACUGUUUAAAAGAUGGUUCUGCUAUCACUCUUGGAUGGACCUGCGGUGCAUUAGCUAGUUGGUAGGGUAACGGCCUACCAAGGCGAUGAUGCAUAGCCGAGUUGAGAGACUGAUCGGCCACAUUGGGACUGAGACACGGCCCAAACUCCUACGGGAGGCAGCAGAA